rnacentral:rRNA from 1 species
UACGAAGGGGGCUAGCGUUGUUCGGAAUCACUGGGCGUAAAGGGCGCGUAGGCGGCUGUUCAAGUCGGGGGUGAAAUCCCGUGGCUCAACCACGGAAUGGCCUUCGAUACUGGACGGCUGGAGACCGGAAGAGGUGAGUGGAACUGCGAGUGUAGAGGUGAAAUUCGUAGAUAUUAGCUAGAACACCAGUGGCGAAGGCGGCCAACUGGUCCGGUACUGACGCUGAGACGCGAAAGCGUGGGGAGCGAACAGG